GCCAGCAGCCAUAUCACCCUGCAACUCACAACUGGUAACCCACUGAAGCUAAGCAGGUGUAUAUAUAAGUAAGCCUGGUCAGUACCUGGAUGGGAGACCUCCUGGGAAAAGCUAUGGUUGCUGCUGGAA
rnacentral:rRNA from 1 species